UACAUAGGGGGCAAGCGUUAUCCGGAAUUAUUGGGCGUAAAGGGUGAGUAGGCGGCAAAUUAAGUCUGAGGUAUAAACACAGUGCUCAACGCUGUGAGGCUUUAGAAACUGAUUAGCUAGAGUUAGAUAGAGGCAAGUGGAAUUCCAUGUGUAGCGGUAAAAUGCGUAAAUAUAUGGAGGAACACCAGUGGCGAAGGCGGCUUGCUGGGUCUAUACUGACGCUGAGGCACGAAAGCGUGGGGAGCAAACA
rnacentral:rRNA from 1 species